GAUGUACGCUGGCGGCGUGCCUAAUACAUGCAAGUCGAGCGAACAGACGAGGAGCUUGCUCCUCUGACGUUAGCGGCGGACGGGUGAGUAACACGUGGAUAACCUACCUAUAAGACUGGGAUAACUUCGGGAAACCGGAGCUAAUACCGGAUAAUAUAUUGAACCGCAUGGUUCAAUAGUGAAAGACGGUUUUGCUGUCACUUAUAGAUGGAUCCGCGCCGCAUUAGCUAGUUGGUAAGGUAACGGCUUACCAAGGCGACGAUGCGUAGCCGACCUGAGAGGGUGAUCGGCCACACUGGAACUGAGACACGGUCCAGACUCCUACGGGAGGCAGCAGUAGGGAAUCUUCCGCAAAGGGCGAAAGCCUGACGGAGCAACGCCGCGUGAGUGAUGAAGGUCUUCGGAUCGUAAAACUCUGUUAUUAGGGAAGAACAAAUGUGUAAGUAACUAUGCACGUCUUGACGGUACCUAAUCAGAAAGCCACGGCUAACUACGUG
rnacentral:rRNA from 1 species